ensembl:lncRNA
AGUGAGGCCGAGCGCACACGCCCCCCUCCGCUCGGCUUUCCGCGCAAUUCUCGCGCAACGCACCCCCACCCCUUUUUCUUUAUUAUUAUUUUUUUUUCUUCUGUAUGUUUGUUGUUGUUUUCUUUUUCCCCCUUUUUUAUUUUCGCUUUUCCCUCCCCCCACGCUCCCCUCGGAGGAGAAACUUUGCGAGGGGAUCCGCGUCCAGCUGUGUAUGUGUAACAGCCAUGGAACGCGCUCUGAGCUGUAUAAGCGGGAUCCCAAGUGGAGCUGCAAGGAGCUGAUGACCGCUACUCUACAGUUUUCCUUUUACACCAUGGAUGAUGGCCUUUGCUUACUGGGAGCUAAGUUGUCUGGAGGAGACCCAUCUUCAUGUGCUGGCAGCUGGUGAAGUGCAAAUGGAGAGUGACUACAAAGACCAGAGUGUGAGUUACCAGCUGAGACUUUUGGACCUGGGAUAACAAGCUGCAAACCUCUUCAACUGCCUCACGCGUCAAAAGACUCUCCAUCUGUCAUUAAUAUGCAUCAAAGAUAAGGAUGCCUGUGGGUCAGGAUGAGCAGAAAAACAGUCCUACUCUGCAACAGAGAAUUCAAGGAGCCCAGGGACCUAACCCAAAUCUGGAGGGAGAGUUUUAGAAAAGCAUUUAAGUGGCAGGUUCCAGUGCAAGUCAGAACCAUGCUUGUAAAUCAACAAGAUCCUUUAAAAAUCCCACCGUGUCACCUGCCCUCAGCAUCUAGAGUGGUUGUUUAUUUUGCAGACAUCUUCACAAUUCCAUUCUCAAGAUUAUAAUUCACUUGGUGGUACCGCAGUUCUCGCACCCUUGAAGUUAAGUAAAUGGUUAAGUGCAGUGGUGGUUCAGAGCUAGAAGACUCUCUACCUUGCAGGAUUGAGCCCUUUAAUCUAUUCUUAUUUCCUUUUCAAUUUCUGCAAGUAACCCCAAGCAAGCUGGAAACACUAAGUGCAAAGUUACGGGAGAUGACUGUGGCAAUUUCUGAAUGACAAGAGCAUUUAAAAGAAAUGUCAAGAGUCUGUGGGCUGCAAGCUUUUAUGUUUCAAGGAGAAACAAAAAGAAAGGAGGGACAAUAAAUCAAACACAACAGCUUAGCGUGCUCCAUCUCUCAGAGUUAACCUCUUGAAAGCCAUGUCCCCAGCACAGAGUGGGCCACACUCUUUGAUAGGGUCCAUUAUUCUCUGUAGAGCAAUAGAGGUGGCAUGGUGGGCUCCUCCGUGCGUGCCCAGGGGCUGUGUACACUGCGCCUUGCUUAACAUGUGCUCUGCAUUUAUGGGUUAACAUCAAACAUGAGCUGAUUUAUAAUUCUUAAUCAAAAAAGGAUUAUAACCUAAUAAAUCCUACU